UAGGUACUCCCUCCGUUCGGAAAUAUUUUUCUCAAAUGGAUAAAUUGGAUGUAUUUAUAACAAAAAUAAGUCUAGAUACAUCUAUUUCUAGGACAAGUAUUUCCGGACGGAGGGAGUAUUAA
rfam:Triticum aestivum genome assembly, contig: Triticum_aestivum_CS42_TGACv1_scaffold_456891_5DS